rnacentral:rRNA from 1 species
GACGAACGCUGGCGGCGUGCUUAACACAUGCAAGUCGAACGGAAAGGCCCUGCUUUUGUGGGGUGCUCGAGUGGCGAACGGGUGAGUAACCCGUGAGUCACCUGCCCUUGACUUUGGGAUAACUUCAGACAACUGGGGCUAAUACCGGCUAGGAGCUCCUGCUGCAUGGUGGGGGUUGGAAAGUUUCGGCGGAUGGGGAUGGACUCGCGGCUUAUCAGCUUGUUGGUGGGGUAGUGGCUUACCAAGGCUUUGACGGGUAGCCGGCCUGAGAGGGUGACCGGCCACAUUGGGACUGAGAUACGGCCCAGACUCCUACGGGAGGCAGCAGUGGGGAAUAUUGCACAAUGGGCGGAAGCCUGAGGCAGCAACGCCGCGUGCGGGAUGACGGCCUUCGGGUGGGAAACCGCUUUCGCCUGUGACGAAGCGUGAGUGACGGUAAUGGGUAAAGAAGCACCGGCUAACUACGUG